rnacentral:lncRNA from 1 species
CCAGCAGGGACGUUGGUCCAGCGUGGCCCUCCCAGGCCAGCCCAGGGAUUUACGCUCCGCCCUGGCUCUGCAAGCCCUUUGUGAGUCUCUGGUGGCCAGCUCAGAAUGACCAAAGCAGGGCGGGCUUUCUAUGGUCAUUUCUUUACCGCACAUGACAUAAACCACCCGAGAGCCCCAGUGAACGGCAGGAGAAAUGAACAUCUUUGGGAAAGUUUGGUGGAAAACCAGCCCGUAGAGCCGUGAGAGACACAGGAUUCACUUUUGGCACUCUCGCCUGGCUCAGCCACCUGGAAUCAAGGAAGACAGCACAGUGCUGACCCCACGCUCCUGCCAAUGCUCACUUCCUCCCCUGGGGUCAUUUCCCAGGAGCAGAGCUGCAGGCCGGGGCCUCUGUCUGCCUGUGGUAGGCACCCACACUCAUUCUCAUCUGGUUCCUUGUAAGUCUUCUAUUGCAAAAUCUUCUCAGGACUUGGAGACAUGCUAUUCUCGGUUUCCCCAAUAACAAAAUGAAAGUGCAAAGGUGCCGUGUCAGCAGGUGGGCCGUGGACUUCGCACCUGGGUGAUGGUGAACCUGCCUCCAAAAUUGCCAUGGGUCCAAAGAGGCGCCAAUUCCUGGCAAAACUGAUGACAUUUAUGAAUUUUAUUUCUGGUUGCAACCUGAUUUUGUUAUGGACCUAUACUGACGUCAGUAAUAAACAAUAAUAAGAUUGUAAACUAUUGCUCUUUAUAAUAAAAUAAUGCCUCUUGGCUGUAUUAUAAAUCUAAUAGCUAUUACAUCAGCACUCAUAACUAUAUAUCAUGCUUACCUUUUAAAUAUACACAGGGUAUUAGAUGGCUCAACAGAAGCGGCCAGAUUUAUUAUUACUGCUUAGCCAUAGCUUUUAUUACGUCACAAAUGACUAAUAGGUAAAAAAUGAAGGGAGAUGCAAUUACAGAGAUGAUCUAUCCCAUGACUUUGGGGGGCAGGGAGUGGCACAUGGGUCCUUGCUUCCACCUGUGCUGCCGAGGGCACCUGCUCCCCGUCUGCAGGUGCUUCCCGGGGCUGCUCGGAGGCUCACAUGAUUCACCCUGGAGGCUGCAACCGUCACACUGUGCAUUCGCAAUGCAGAAUAAACUUCUAAGUAAAUGGUUAGUUCCUAAGUUUGCUUUAAUAAAUCAUCUCUUCUCAUCUGGGCACCUGUGAUUUCAUCGCCCUGGGGGGAUCACCCAAACCUCUCAUCGGCACUGAAA